UUAUUAACAUUCUUUCUGUGAGAGGGAUCCACGGAUAGAAAGACUUGUAAUUCUUAAAGGAUAAAUGUGACCUUGUAUAUUGUGACUAAAUAUUGCCAUCUAGUGUUUUUGUUGAGCUUUCAGUAAAUGAUACUGAAGGCAAUGCCCAAAUGCAUGAUGGGAAGUGCCACCAUGACUGUGCGUAGUGGCACCAAUUGAUAUAUCUUCUCUGCGUUGGGACAUAACAUAGGGUGUUAAGAAAAAGAUCGGCUAAUACCGUUCUUCCCCACAUUGAUUCUCACGAUAUUUCUUAUUAUUGAGAGAGGGAUUGUAAGGCUUAAGCCAAUUAAAAAAAGGCUCCAAAGACUGCCAAAAUCCACUCUACUCAUUUUACGCUGCCUUUUAGCUCUAUAUAUAGGUAAAACGGCGCCAUUAUAAAUUGAACGUAACAAUGCGUGAGUGGGUCAUGCAGUGCAUGCGUUAAUUGCGUCAAAUAUUUUAACGUGAUUCAUUUUUAAAAAAUUAAUUACCGCCGUUAACGCGAUAAAUCUGAUAGCCCUACUUUAAGCCAAAACUAAAGACUCUGGAUGAGUUUAAGACAUUUUGUCUGUAACGUUAAAUACAAUUAGAAAACAAUUUAAUUAAAAAAUAUAUAUAUAUAUUAAACAAAGGCAUGUCCGAUAUUAUUUUGCCACUUCCGAUACUUUGAAAAUGACGUGAUCGAACCCGAUCGAUCGGGAUGCCGAUCAUCUUUAGUUAUAAUAUGUUGACUGAAAACUACUUGAUGACAACUUGAUGAUUUUACGACACUGCGGGUGUGCGCUGGUCUUCCUUAAGGCAAAACACUACCGCUUUUGUCCACCCGCGUCGCUAUAAUCGACCAAAACUGAAAAGUUACAUAGUGUUGCUUUAAGAGUUGGGAACACCGCAAGCACACGGAGGUCAACUGCCUUGCUGCUCGCUGCAUUUACCGUAAUGCUUGGAUUACGUAGGUACGCUAAUUUUGGGGUCCCCUCAUUUGACCACUGGACCACCGGGGUAAUCCCCGGUAUUCCCAUAAACUAGUCCGCCCUUGAUCACAAUUGAGAUUCAUUGCAGAAAAUUACAAAAACAAAUCUAAUCUGAUUAAUCUAUUGCUAGAUUAAUCCAUUGAUAGAAUUAAGAUUAGUUGGGGAAAAGGUAUAUUUCUUCCUGGCUCCUUAGUCUGAAGUUACAAAAAAAGUCUGAUUAAUCAAGUGAUAGCUUAAUCCCGACUGAUUUAGAUUAAUUGCGGAAAAUGUGCAUUUCUUCUUCCUGAUCCUUUCUGUAAUUAGCGUCUAUCGCCCCCCAAUGGCAGCCAAUGAGUUAAAUGCAACUUUAAGUGCCACAAAAUAUCAGUAAAGUACCCAAAUCGUUGCCUGGAACUAAAAGACCACAAGAUGGCGUUAAAAGCACACUUUUGUUUGUGGUGAACUACUCAAUUCAAUGCCAGGAAGCCACUUUAAAUUUUCAAAACUUUGUGAUUUAUCGGGAAACAAAAGCAAACUAAAUUCAUUUAAGUGUCCUCCAGCUUCUCCGGAAACGACUCACUUACCUUGAGUCUUGAUUUGGACGAGCUGCGCUGCUAAUUAAACGCACCCUGAGCUCUGCUUCAACAGAGACACUUAAUAUUUCAGAGUCCUUUUUUUCCUUAAAAUAAAAACAAAAAAAAACAUUGUGUCGAUAAAACGCUGCUCCUCGACUCUUGUCGUAACCUCACAACUCCGUAAUGUGACGGCACAACUAAGCACGUUUGCCUGGAUUUUGUGAACUUGCUGGAAGUUUUUCUAAUAUAUAUACUAGUAUAUCAAGAGAGAAAGCAAAUAAUUUCAUUUGAUCCGUUUUUGUAUACCUUAAGAUUUCUCUUGUGAUCCGAGAUUUUUUUUUUUUCUAUUAUUGUUUUGGGUGGAACAAACAACACUGAGCAAUUAGCAUUAGCGUUAUUCUUUGAAUUAGAUGUCUACUUUUUUCUGAAUUUACAUAUUUGCAGAUUUAAAAGUGAACGAUCCCUCGUUUUUGGGGUUUUUUUUGUUUUGUUUUUUUUGCUAUUAUUUAAAUUUUUCUUAAUACAGCCUUUUUUCAAAGAUUGAUGGUAACAAUCUAAAAUGGCUCCUGAUGGGGGAAUAUUUUAGUGUAACGGUACCACUGUUUACUAUCAACUUUAUCGACAGCAAUGUUCAAAUGGCACAAGCUGAUAUUUUUGCUGAUUUCAUCCUCGCAUGAAAAACAAUACAAAAAAACACUGUUUUGAGCCUCCAAGCAGCUUUUAACAAAGGAUUACCGUAUUUUUCGGACUAUAAGUCGCACCUGAGUAAAAGUCACACCAGCCAUAAAAUGCCCAACGAAGAGGAAAAAAUAUAUAUAAGUCGCACAGGAGUACAAGUCGCAUUUUGGGGGGAAAUUUACUCGAUGAAAUCCAACACAUAGAACAGAUGUCAUCUUGAAAGGCAAUUUAAACUAAAAAUACAAUAGGGAACAACAUGCUGAAUAAGUGUACAGUAUGAUAAUGUUACAUGAUGCACGAACAACGAAAUCCGAAUGUGGCCGAUAUGUUAACGUAACAUAGCUAUUAAGAGUUAUUCAGAUAACUAUAGCAUAAAGAACAUGCUAACAAGUUUACCAAACCAUCAGUGUCACUCCAAAACACCGAAAUAACCUGUGAAAUGAUAUAAAAAAGAGUAUAAGAGUAUAAGUCGCACCCCCAGCUAAACUAUGAAAAAAAAAAAAACUGCAAUUUAUAGUCCAAAAAAUACGGUAUUGGCUAUAAAUACGGAUUUAUGCUCAAAUAUUAUAAGGUGGGAGGGAUGGUGAUAUAUUGUUCAUAUACUAGAAUCAUGUUUAAAUAUUUUGAUUUUCAAAAAACAUUACUAGAGGAUUUUUAAUUUAAGGGAAAAAAGACUAUUUUGUUAAUAUUACAGCCCUUUCUUUGUUGCUGUAAUAUAAUCUAAAUAUUUCUGAUGUAAAAUGAUAGUUUUUGGAAGUGUCACAAGUUUGAAAUGCUAUUUUAUUGUUGUUGUUUUUUUUGUCCCCUCAAAAAUGAAACAUUCUUUUACUUUUAUUCCAUUCUCUUUCAGCAUUAACCCUUUAUAGAGCACUCAUUUAACUUAUUGGCUGCCAUUGACGGUGUCUAGUGUCGUCAAUAACACUGAAACAUGAUCAUAUUUUAUGCUGUUUUCCCCCUAAAGUUCAAAUUUAUUUAUUGAUUAAUCACGAUUAAUUAGGAUUCCUUGCAGAACAUGUGUAUGCCUUGUUUUAUUUGUUGUCUAAAGUUACAAAAACAUGUCUAAUUAGAUUAAUAUAUUGAUGGACUAAUCUAUUUGUAGACUAAUUUAUUGUUAUACAAAUCUUAACUGACAUGAUAACUGCAGAAAAUGUGCAGAAAGUGUGUUUUCGCUUCCUGAUUUUUGAAGCUACAAAAAUCCAAUCUGAGCAGAUUAAUCUAUUAUCAGAUUAAUCCCAGUUGAGAUUUAUUAUGUGAAAUGUGAGUAGCAGCGUCAAGGCACUGAAAAAUGACCAGCCACAGUCAGUGUUCCCAGUUUAAAUGGAUUGGACGUCCAGCCCUGUCAAUGGCACUGAAACUCUAUUUAUAGAUUAAUCAGGAUUAAUUAUGAUUCCUUGGCGGACAUGUGUAUUCCUUUUCCCUGAUUCUAUUUUUGUCUAAAGUUACAAAAACAUGUCUCAAAAAUGUAUCUAUUGAUGGAUAACUAGAUUAAAAAAUUAGUCUAUUGAUAGAUUAAUCACAAUUGAGAUUAACUAAAAACAAUGUGAAUUUCAGCUUCUUAAAUUUUGUCUAAAGUCACAAAAAUAAAAUCUGAACAGAAUUAUGUAUUAUAUCAGUCGCAGUUGAGAUCAAUUAUGAAAUAUGUGAACAGCGCUGUCAAUGGCACUGAAACAUGAUCAUGCUAUAAAAAAAUUUUUUUUAAAUCUGAAAAUGAAUCAGAUUAAUCCAAUUACAGAUUAAUCACGAUUAAUUCAGAUUCUUUCCAGAACAUGUGUAUUCCUUUUUCCUGGUUUUUAUUUUUGUCUAGGUUAUACAAAUAUGUCUAAUCAGAUAAAUCUAUUGAAAGAUGGAUUAAUCUAUUCAAAGAUUAAGCACAAUUUAGAUUAAUUGAAGACUGUGCAUUUCCGCUACUUGACUCCUUUAAUGUAAAAAAAAAAAAAAAAAAAAAAAAUCUGAACAGAUUAAUCUAUUGAUAGAUCUAGAUUAAUUAAUAGAUCUGUCUACUGAUAGAUGAAUCACAAUUGAGAUUUAGUGAAGACCUUCCUGACUCCUUUAUAGUUUCAAAAAUGAAAUCUGAACAGAUUAAUUAUUGAUAGAUCAAUGGAUUAAUCUGUUGAUAGAUUAAUACCAAUUGAGAUUAAUUGACGACUGUGCAGUUCCGCUUCCUGACUCUUUUAAAGUUUCAAAGAUCAAAUCUGAGCAGAUUAAUCUAUUAUUGAAUGUACAGAUUAAUCUAUUGGUAGAUUAAUCACAAUUUCGAUUCAUUUAAGCCUGUGCCUUUCCACUUCCUGACUACUAUAAAGUUUCAAAAAUCAAAUCUGAAGAGAUGAAUCUAUUUAAUUUAUCUAUCGAUAGAUUAAUCACAAUUGAGAUGAAAUGAAGACUGCAUUUCCGCUUCCUGACUCCUUUGAAGUUUCAAAAAUCAAAUCUGAACCGAUUAAUCUAUUGAUUGAUUAAUCACAAUUGAGAUUAAUUGAAGACAGUGCAUUUCCGCUUCUUUACUCCUUUGAAGUUUCAAAAAGCAAAUCUGAACAGAUUAAUUUAUUGAUAGAUUAAUAGAUUAAUCUAUUGAUAGAUGAAUCACAAUUGAGAUUAACUGAAGAAAAUGUGCAUUUCCGCUUCCUGACUCCUUUAAAGUUUCAAAAAUCAAAUCUGAACAGAUUAACCUAUUGAUAGAUUAAUCGCGAUUGAGAUUAAUUCCAGAAAAUGUGAAUGAAUGGUACUGAAAAAUGACCAUCCAAAGCCAGUGCCCCAGUUUAAAUGGACUGGACGUCCUUCGAUACUUGCUCUAUAAAGGGUUAAUUCCUAAAUUUUUUUUUGUUUGUUUCACCGCCAUGUUUUCAUUUUAACACAUUCAAUCUUAAUCAGUUUGUCCAAAAACAUGAAUGAGACCUGCUCAGUACUUGAUCCAUUUUUGUUCUAAUCGUUUGUUGGCGUCUUCAAUUCAACUGUUUGAAAGUCAAAUCAACCCUAUGUUUGAUGUAAUGUGAAAUUCUGAACUAUUUGAGGGACUAGCAUAUUUUCAAAAAGCUGUUUAACAAUAAAAGAUCUUCAUCAUGUUUUGAACACGCGGUCCUCUGUUGUCCGAAUUGCCAAAACGAAUGUUCAAAUGGUUGAAAACAAUGAGGUGAGUAUGUUUCUCUUCUCUUUAUUGCUUGAAGCUUUGAUGUUGGUCAUAAAGCAUAUGUCCCGUGUGAGAGUGACAUUUUGUCUUGACGCAGGAGGCCGCAUGGAAAGCAAGUAAGUAGUAAGCCUUCUUGGCGUUGCGGUUCUUUUGGUGCGGGAAGCAUGGAGAGCAGCACAGACAAAACCAGGAAAAACCUCAGGAAACGUCUGGAUCAGCUGGGCUACAGACUUUAUCUUGGAAUAGACUCUGUACCGCUGGUGGCUAAACUCUUCAGCGAUCUGGUCCACACCACAGUUAGCCUCCGCAAUGCUAAACUGUCGGCAGAGAAGCAGGACGUCCCGUCCAAACCGCCGUGCAGCACCUGGCUGGGCGCUGGUGACCAUUUUCAAAGUCAAGUUUCAGGUGGGAAGAAGCCGAGUGUUGUUUUGAUCGACCAAUCCACGCAAACGGAUGAAGAAAGACGGCCUUCACCUCGUCAGGAGGAGGUUGAUGAGGGGGAGCAGGAGGAGGAUUUAUCUGAAAGGGUCGUCGAAUUGCAGGAAGAAUUACUGCGUGUCCAAUCGGAUCUGGUCGACUCACACGGGCGGCUGGAAGCAUCCGACGUUGAACUGUCGGAGUUGCGCGAGGCCAAGCGGACGCUCGAACGUUCGCUGGCCAGCAAGGAAGAAGCGCUGUCCAGCAAGGACGACGCUCUGGCCCAGAUGGUGGCAUUGAAGGAGCACGUCUUCAACAUGGCCUAUAGGAAGUUGUCGGCCUCCAAGGAGGUCAUUCUCGGACAGCAGGAAAUCAUCCGGGACUUGGAGGUCAACCUUCGGAAAAUAAAAGCGGAGGUUAGCGGGCGGAGUCCUAUUCAGAAGCAACUGGCUGAGGCAAAAGGACGCAACCACAAACUGCAGGGAUUGGUCUCCAUCUUGGAGGGAAAGAGUACACGAGAAGAACUGGACGACGUGCUGGAUAUUGAUCGAGAUGUGCAACUCCAUGCGGACCAGAUGCGGGCCAAAGGCGGCGGCGGUGAUUGCGGUUCAUCCUUCAUCAAAAGCCGAGAGGAGGACCGCCUCUGCUACCGGCGCGAGGCACAGCGCUACAAAAGCAUCCUCGGAGGCCGCGCCCUCAACGCCGUCAACCUCAGUCCAUCGCAGGCAAGGAGGGCCAAGUUUGUGCUAGCCGCCACUUUUCGGGGCGACGCCAGAUGAAACUCACGCAUGUUUGCUUACCUCCAGCACCAGCACUUUAUGUAGAAUUAUGUUUUGGGAAACUUGAGUAAAGUUUGGGCAAUUACCGUGAACGUCGAGGCGCGCGGUGGUGGACACGAUGCCGGCGUCGUUUUUGGCAGACACGGUGUACCAGCCGGCGUCGUCCUUGCAGGCCGGCUGGAUGAUCAUGCACAGGUAGCCGCGGUUGUCCUGGUGCAUGCUGGAAUAGGAUGAAACGCCAGUCAGUAAGCGGCGCCAGAACGACGAUCGGCGUGCGACCCACCUGAUUCUGUCAGUGUUGUGAGUAAGCGACUCGUUCUCACGCUUCCAGAAGAUUUGCGGGUAUGGGACGCCGCUGACGCGGCACUCCAGACGCACGGGGUGGCCCUCCGACACGCUCGUGUUCUGGAGCUUCUCCGUGAACGACGGCGCCUUGUGUAGCUCUUUGGCUGUGUGCGCACAAAAAAAGAGAAAAACAUUAGCGCUUAAAAGCUACGACGGAGUAUUUGUACAAGUCAUAAUAUUCCCUGAUUAAAGUUAUAAGGUUAUAAUACGACGCGAAAGAAGUUGCAAUGUUACGUGGAAAAAGUAGUAAAAAGUAGUAGUAUUUCAAGACAAAGUCCGAACGUUACGAGGUGUAAGUUGUAAUAUUAAGAGAAAAGGUUGAAGUUGUAAUACAUAAUUUAACGUAAUAUUACGUGAUUAACGUUGUAUUCCAAUUCACUCUGAAUGAUUUCCAACCGAAGUGACCCCGAAAUGCACCUGAGUCAACAGAAAGUGACCCACUAUCAACAGGAAGUGACCCUGGAAUGCCUCAAAACCAACUGGAAGUGACCCAAAAUGUACAGGAAGUGAACCCGAAAUACCCCCAAAUCAACAGGAAGUAACCCAAUAUUAACAGAGACCCUGAAAUGCUUAAAAUCUACAGGAGGUGACCCCAAAAUGCCCCCAAAUCAAUAGAAACUGCACCAAUAUGACUACAGGAAGUGAUCCUGGAAUGCCUCAAAAUGUACAGGAAGUGAACCUAUAGGAAGUGACCCUGGAAUUCCUCAAAACCAACAGGAAGUGACCCUAAAUGCUCCCAAAUCAAUAGGAUGUGACCCAAUACCUACAGGAAGUGACCCUAGAAUGCUUUAAUACUAAUCGGAAGAGACCGUGAAAGCCCUAAAAUCAACAGGAAGUGACCCGAUAUCUACAGGAAGUGACCCAGAAAUGCGUCCAACUCAGCAGGAAGUGACUUGUUGUACAUGAAGUUAUCCUGUAAUGCCCCCAAAUCAAUAAGAAGUGACCCAAAAUGUACAGGAAGUGAUCCUGAUAUGCCCUAAGAUCAACAGGAAGUGACCCGAUAUUUACAGAAAGUGACCCUGGAAUGCCUCAAAACUGACUGGAAGUGAAUCAAAAUGUACAGAAGGUGAACCUGAAAUACCCCCAUAUCAAAAGGAAGUGAGCCCAAAAUGCCGCAAAAUCAAUAGGAAGUGACCCAAUACCUACAGGAAGUGACCCAGGAAUGCCUUAAUACCGAUAGGAAGUGACCAUGAAAGCCCUAAAAUCAACAGGAAGUGACCCUGAAAUGCGUCCAACUCAGCAGGAAGUGACUCGUUGUACAGGAGGUUAUCCUGUAAUUCCCCCAAAGCAAUAAGAAGUGACCCAAAAUGUACAGGAAGUGACCCUGAAAUGCCCUAAGAUCAACAGGAAGUGAACCGAUAUUUACAGAAAGUGACCCUGGAAUGCCUCAAAACCGAAUGGAAGUGACUCAAAAUAUACAGAAGGUGAACCUGAAAUACCCCCAAAUCAAAAGGAAGUGACCCAAUACCUACAGGAAGUGACCUUUCAAUGCCUCAAAAUCAGUAGGAAGUGGCCCUGAAAUGCCCCAAAACCUAUUGGAAGUGACUCAAAAUGUACAGAAGGUGAAUCUGAAAUUACCCCCAAAUGAACAGGAAGUGACUCAAUAUCUACAGGAAGUGACAUUGGAAUGCCUCAAAAUCAACAAAAAGUGACCCAAUAUGUACAGGGACAGUCGCCAAAACGACCCCAAAUCAAUAGGAAGUGACCCAAUAUGAACAAAAAGUGACCCCAAAAUGUCCUCAAAUCAAUACGAAGUGACCCAACAUGAACAGAAAGUGACCCUAUGUCUCCAGAAAGUGAGCCUUGAAAGCCUCAAAAUCAACAGGAAGUGACCCUGAAAUGCCUAAAAAUGAACAGAAAAUAAACUUUAAAUUGCUCAAAAUCAAUAGGAAGUGACCCAAUAUGAACAGGAAGUGACCCCGAAGUGCCCCCAGUUCAUUUCAAAUUUAUUUGCAUAGCCCUAAAUCACAACAAGGUUGUGUCAAAGGGCUUUGCAGAGGCAAUAUGGUACACAUAGGAAGUGACCCUUGAAUGCCUCAAAAUCAACAGGAAGUGACCCCGAAAUGCCCCCAAAUGAAUAGGAAGUGUCCCAAUAUGUACAGGAAGUGACCCUGAAAUGCCCCCCAAUCAACAGGAAGUGACCCAAAAAUGCCCCCAAAUCAAUAGGAAGUCACCCAAUAUUAACAGGAAGUGACCCUAAAAAUGCCCGCAUAUCAAUAGGAAGUGACCCAAUAUGAACAGAAAGUGACCCCAAAAUGCCCCCAAAUCAAUAGGAAGUGAUCCAAUAUGAACAGGAAAUGACCCUUGAAUACCUCAAAAUCAACAGGAAGUGACCCUGAAAGGCCCCCAAACAACAGGAAGUGACCCAAUAUGUACAGGAAGUGACUCCAAAAUGCCCCCAAAUCAAUAGGAAGUGAUCCAAUAUGAACAGGAAGUGACCCUUAAAACACCCGCAAAUCAACAGGAAGUGACCCAAUAUGAACAGGAAGUGACCCUAAAAAUGCCCGCAAAUCAAUAGGAAGUGACCCAAUAUGAACAGAAACUGACCCCAAAAUGCCCUAAGAUCGAUAGGAAGUGACCCAAUAUCUCCAGAAAGUGAGCCUUGAGUGCCUAAAAUGUACAUGAAGUGACCCAAUAUGAACAGGAAGUGACCCAAUAUCUCCAGAAAGUGAGCCUUGAAUGCCUAAAAUGUACAAAAAGUGACACAAUAUGAACAGGAAGUGACACUUAAAUACCUCAAAAUCAACAGAAAAUAACCCUGACAUACCUCAAAAUCAACAGGAAGUAACCCUGAAAUGCCCCCAAAUUAACAGGAAGUGACCCAAUAUUUACAGGAAGUGACCCCAAAAUGCCCGCAAAUCAAUAGGAAGUGAGCCAAUAUGAACAGGAAGUGACCCCAAAAAUCCCUUAAGAUCGAUAGAAAGUGACCCAAUAUCUCCAGAAAGUGAGCCUUGAAUGCCUAAAAUGUACAGGAAGUGACCCAAUAUUAACAGGAAGUGACCCCAAAACGCCCCCAAAUAAAUAGGAAGUGAUCCAAUAUGAACAGGAAAUGACCCUUAAAUACCUCAAAAUCAACAGAAAAUAACCCUGAAAUACCUCAAAAUCAACAGGAAGUGACCCUGAAAUGCCCCCAAAUUAACAGGAAGUGACCCAAUAUUUAUAGGAAGUGACCCCAAAAUGCCCCCAAAUCAAUAGGAAGUGAUCCAAUAUGAACAGGAAGUGACCCUAAAAACACCCGCAAAUCAAUAGGAAUUGAUAUGAACAGAAAGUGACCCCAAAAUGACCUAAGAUCGAUAGGAAGUGACCCAAUAUGAACAGGAAGUGACCCAAUACCUCCAGAAAGUGAGCCUUGAAUGCCUAAAAUCAACAGGAAGUGACCGAAUAUGUACAGGAAGUGACCCCAAAACGCCCCAAAUCAAUAGGAAGUGACCCAAUAUGAACAGGAGAGUGACCCUUGAAUGCCCCAAAAUCAACAGAAAAUAACCCUGAAAUACCUCAAAAUCAACAGGAAGUGGGAAUUUUUGUGUUUGUUCACCUGCGACGAUGAGCUCCAGGUUAAAGGAGUUCUGUCCGGCGCGGUUGCUGGCGAUGCACGUGUAGACGCCGGCGUCGCGCGCGCUGACCGGUUCGAUGAUGAGCGAGUGCACGCCGUUCUCGCGCACCAACAUCUUGUGGGCCGAGUCGGGCCGCACCGUCUGCCCGUUCAGCUGCCACACCAAGUCGGGCGUCGGCAGACCGCUCACCUGUCGCACACGUCGCGGUCUUGUUAGUCAUUAAAAAAGCAAACCGUUAUUUUGGUGAUGAGUCAACUCAUCGGCUCAAUUAUAUACUGCAAAUAUAUAUUUAUGCACUGAAAAAAGUUCAAGCAUGAAUACUCAUGGAAAUACAAGUAUGUCAGUGAUUCAUUGUUUACCAAAAUAUAUAAUAAACCUGUUUUUAUUCAUCAGAAGAAUACACAGUUUCAUUGUCCCCCCCCCACCCUCUUUUUUCUGCAAUAAAAAUAAUAUAGAAUUUUUUUCUUUAAAGUUGAGAAAAUACUAAUAAGUUGAAAAAUUAAAAUAAUUUUUAUUCAAAAGUUUAAAAAAAAUAAAGGAAUAUAAGUUGAAAAUUAAAAUAAAUGAUAAAAAACAAAUAAUUC